rnacentral:rRNA from 1 species
UGAGUAACGCGUGGGUAACCUGCCCUAUACACAUGGAUAACAUACUGAAAAGUUUACUAAUACAUGAUAAUAUAUAUUUACGGCAUCGUAGAUAUAUCAAAGUGUUAGCGGUAUAGGAUGGACCCGCGUCCGAUUAGCUAGUUGGUGAGAUAACAGCCCACCAAGGCGACGAUCAGUAGCCGACCUGAGAGGGUGAUCGGCCACAUUGGAACUGAGACACGGUCCAAACUCCUACGGGAGGCAGCAGAU